CGCGUAGGCGGCUUUUCAAGCGUGCGGUGAAAGCUCGGGGCUUAACUCCGAGUCUGCCGUGCGAACUGGGAGGCUUGAGUCUGGUAGAGGUCGAUGGAAUUCCGGGUGUAGCGGUGGAAUGCGUAGAGAUCCGGAAGAACACCGGUGGCGAGGGCGGUCGACUGGGCCAGUACUGACGCUGAGGCGCGACAGCGUGGGGAGCAAACA
rnacentral:rRNA from 1 species